UGGAAGGUGUGUAUGUAUAAGUGCAUG
rnacentral:piRNA from 1 species